UCUCAUCUGUAUUUUCUCUCAUCUCCAUCCUCCAUUCUGGUUCAAGCCAUUCCAACGAUUCAACAUCAGGUAUGAACAAUCUUCCUAAUUCAGAAUCUUCUUUCAAUUCGCCAUUCCAACGAUUCAACAUCAGGUAUGAACAAUCUUCCUAAUUCAGAAUCUUCUUUCAAUUCGAAGGGGGUUCAUCAUAGGUAUGUUACACAAACUUAUGAUUCAGAUUGCAAUUAAUUUGCUCCGUCAUUCUUCGUCUUCUCAACCGUCUAAUAGGAAGGUCAAUUUCCGUGGAUUUUAUGGUUUUCAGAUUUGAGGUUUUCUUUUCGUAGAUUUUAGGGUUUUAAGAUUUGAGGUUUUCUUUGCAUUUUGAUUUAUUAGGGUAUUUUAUACAUCAGUUAAAUCGUUGAUACUUUAUCAUAUUAAGGAAUUGAUUUUAUGGUUUUUACACUAAAAUCAUCAACGACGACUGUCACCGUGCUAAUAUAUUCUGAUUAACAUCCGACCAAAGCAUGUGUGUAUUUUUUCGGUACGUAUUCCUUUGAGCUGCUAUGAUUGAUUUGAUUUCUUUAGUAUGCUCUUAAUAUUUUAAUGUUUGACCUAAAUGAUGGAUGCAUUCCAAUUUCCAGGUGUGUGUAUCUAUAAUCUAGACGAUCUUGAUGAUCGUGGUAAUGAUUAGGGCUCAAAAUUUCCAGAUCUGAAGAUACGAAAGUAUCAACGAGUGGCUAAACAACAAAAAAAAAUUUACGGGUGAUAACCUAGCUGAGUGGCAAGAGGCAGGAACUGAUGGUACUCUAUCCACAUGAAACUGGGAUACCGAGCUUCUUUUCAAAAUCACCACAUCUAUGAUUUGAUUUAAUAUGCAUGUCGGUGGGACAUUGAUGAGAACACUGCGGAUUAUGGCAACCAAGCACCUCAAUAAAGCUUCUUAACAGGGUAGUUUUAUCAUCUGAUGAACUAUAAUAGUCAUGUCCUCCAUUUAGCUUGUGGAAUUGCUUGAAGAGGCUUGGUUCUAAAGGAACAAUAGUAGGGUCUCAAGGAACAGGUGGUAAUGAAUCAAGUUUUUAGCUAUUUUUUUUAAUUGGCCCAUUUAAUAUGUUUGAGAUAAAACACAACCCGUUUGACUUUGUUUGUUAGUAAAUUUGUCACCUAUUAGCUCAUUGUUACUUAAUUUUACAACUAUUCAAAAAUUCAGUAUGCAUGUGUUUGUGUGUGUGUAAAUAGUUGCACACAUAAUCUCACUAAAUUCCUAUAUGUUAACAUUGGUUUAAAAAGGUGCACUUGAGGCAUGAGGUGAUCAGAAAAGCGUCCCAUGGCCUUGAUACAACUGAGUUAAAAAUGGUCAAACAUGUUGUGAUAAGUAAAAAACAACCAGAUGAGACAAAUGCAUCAUUUGGUUGUAUAUAAAUCUUAUUUUUUGGUUGUACAUAGAGCAAUGCCUUACAUAUGUGAAGCCCACGCCUCGGCGUUUUGGACCUAAAAGCCACGAAGUACCUUGCGCCUUUUUAAACAAAGAUGACAACUUGGACAGGUUCCAAAACAAACGAGUUGCUGCCACAAUAGGCUAUUUAGGGUGGUAAAGGAUAGACCAGUGCAGCUCAGCGGUUCGGCGCGUCUUUCGUACAUAUCACGUUUGAGAUCCAAAAAUGACAUGUCAUCAAGUGGAUUUAUAAAACUGAUGACACUUGAAGGAAGUAUUGGUUACAUGGCAUGCCAUAUAAUGUGCUAAUUGAGGUGGUAAAUUAAGAUUCCGACACUCUUGGGAUAGAACGGUGAUGUUAACUUUUCUUUAGCUGAACCACAACAGUUAUAUAAGCGAAUUAAAUAAUAAAUUUAUUUGAUGCUCAAAAACCAAAUUCAGACUACUAUAAAUCUGGU